AAUGAACGCUGGCGGCGUGCUUAACACAUGCAAGUCGAACGAGAAACCCCGGCUUGCCGGGGGAGUAAAGUGGCGCACGGGUGAGUAACGCGUGGGUAAUCUACCCUCGAAUUGGGGAUAACACAUCGAAAGGUGUGCUAAUACCGAAUAAGACCACGGUGGUUUCGGCCACUGAGGUCAAAGAUGGCCUCUGCUUGCAAGCUGUCGUUUGAGGAUGAGCCCGCGUCCCAUUAGCUAGUUGGUGGGGUAAGAGCCCACCAAGGCAACGAUGGGUAGCUGGUCUGAGAGGAUGGCCAGCCACACUGGAACUGGAACACGGUCCAGACUCCUACGGGAGGCAGCAGUGAGGAAUUUUGCGCAAUGGGGGCAACCCUGACGCAGCAACGCCGCGUGAGUGAAGAAGGCCUUCGGGUUGUAAAGCUCUGUCAAGCGGGAAGAAACUUUUUCGAACGAAUAAUUCGAGAAAUUGACGGUACCGCUGAAGGAAGCACCGGCUAACUCCGUGCCAGCCGCCGCAGUAAGAC
rnacentral:rRNA from 1 species